CUUCCUUUCAUUCUUCUCUCCACGCCAAACACACCUACUCCCUCUCUCUUCCCUCUCCUUCACCGAACCCUAGCCGCCACCCCCCUCCGUUCUCUCUCCUCUGAGCUGGAUUGCAAAAAAUGGCGAAAACACAGACUCCACAGGCUUUUCUCAGUACGUGCAUAGCCGAAUCAAGCCGCAUUUAUUGCGACACAAAGAAGGCUCCAAGUCCAUUCUUGCUCCGAUUGCACUCAUAAAAGCCCAACAAUGUCGAUUCUUUCAGAACAUGAAUGAGUCCAAUGGAGAGAAAGGGAAGCAAAUAUUGAAGAUACGUAGAAGGCCCAACCAUGGGUAAAAAUGGUUAACUAGGGGCUUGGUACGCCCCUAGCCUAACUUAUCUUUUAUUUACAUAUUUAUAUUUUGAUAUUGUAUUGUAUUUGUGUGUUUGUAAAACAUUUUUAUUUAUUGGAAUCCUUUACGGUUAUGAACUA